rnacentral:rRNA from 1 species
UACGAAGGGGGCUAGCGUUUUUCGGAAUUACUGGGCGUAAAGGGCGCGUAGGCGGUCUUGUAAGUCAGAUGUGAAAGCCCCGGGCUCAACCCGGGAAUAGCAUUUGGUACUGCGAGGCUUGAGUCCGGGAGAGGAUGGCGGAAUUCCCAGUGUAGAGGUGAAAUUCGUAGAUAUUGGGAAGAACACCGGUGGCGAAGGCGGCCAUCUGGACCGGUACUGAUGCUGAGGCGCGAAAGCGUGGGUAGCAAACAGG